rnacentral:rRNA from 1 species
CUGGCGGCGUGCCUAAUACAUGCAAGUCGAGCGGACAGAAGGGAGCUUGCUCCCGGAUGUUAGCGGCGGACGGGUGAGUAACACGUGGGUAACCUGCCUGUAAGACUGGGAUAACUCCGGGAAACCGGAGCUAAUACCGGAUAGUUCCUUGAACCGCAUGGUUCAAGGAUGAAAGACGGUUUCGGCUGUCACUUACAGAUGGACCCGCGGCGCAUUAGCUAGUUGGUGAGGUAACGGCUCACCAAGGCGACGAUGCGUAGCCGACCUGAGAGGGUGAUCGGCCACACUGGGACUGAGACACGGCCCAGACUCCUACGGGAGGCAGCAGUAGGGAAUCUUCCGCAAUGGACGAAAGUCUGACGGAGCAACGCCGCGUGAGUGAUGAAGGUUUUCGGAUCGUAAAGCUCUGUUGUUAGGGAAGAACAAGUGCAAGAGUAACUGCUUGCACCUUGACGGUACCUAACCAGAAAGCCACGGCUAACUACGUGCCAGCAGCCGCGGUAAUACGUAGGUGGCAAGCGUUGUCCGGAAUUAUUGGGCGUAAAGGGCUCGCAGGCGGUUUCUUAAGUCUGAUGUGAAAGCCCCCGGCUCAACCGGGGAGGGUCAUUGGAAACUGGGAAACUUGAGUGCAGAAGAGGAGGAGUGGAAUUCCACGUGUAGCGGUGAAAUGCGUAGANAAUGNNGNAGGAACACCAGNUGGCGAANGGNNACUCUCUNGGUCUGUAACUGACGCUNANGNA